rnacentral:rRNA from 1 species
CCUACGGGAGGCAGCAGUGGGGAAUAUUGCACAAUGGGGGAAACCCUGAUGCAGCGACGCCGCGUGAGUGAAGAAGUAUUUCGGUAUGUAAAGCUCUAUCAGCAGGGAAGAAAAAAGACGGUACCUGACUAAGAAGCCCCGGCUAACUACGUGCCAGCAGCCGCGGUACUACGGAGGGGGCAAGCGUUAUCCGGAUUUACUGGGUGUAAAGGGAGCGUAGACGGCGCGGCAAGUCUGAAGUGAAAGUCAGGGGCUGAACCCCUGAACGGCUUUGGACACUGCCAUGCUAGAGUGCUGGAGAGGUAAGUGGAAUGCCUAGUGUAGCGGUGAAAUGCGUAGAUAUUAGGAGGAACACCAGUGGCGAAGGCGGCUUACUGGACAGUAACUGACGUUGAGGCUCGAAAGCGUGGGGAGCAAACAGGAUUAGAUACCCCUGUAGUC